UACAGAGGUGGCAAGCGUUGUUCGGAAUUACUGGGCGUAAAGGGCGCGUAGGCGGCCUUCUAAGUCAGACGUGAAAUCCCUCAGCUUAACUGGGGAACUGCGUCUGAUACUGGAUGGCUUGAGUUCGGGAGAGGGAUGCGGAAUUCCAGGUGUAGCGGUGAAAUGCGUAGAUAUCUGGAGGAACACCGGUGGCGAAGGCGGGUCACUGGUCCGGUACUGACGCUGAGGUGCGAAAGCGUGGGGAGCAAACAGG
rnacentral:rRNA from 1 species